AAUGGGUCAGCGACUUAUAUUCUGUAGCAAGGUUAACCGAAUAGGGGAGCCGAAGGGAAACCGAGUCUUAACUGGGCGUUAAGUUGCAGGGUAUAGACCCGAAACCCGGUGAUCUAGCCAUGGGCAGGUUGAAGGUUGGGUAACACUAACUGGAGGACCGAACCGACUAAUGUUGAAAAAUUAGCGGAUGACUUGUGGCUGGGGGUGAAAGGCCAAUCAAACCGGGAGAUAGCUGGUUCUCCCCGAAAGCUAUUUA
rnacentral:rRNA from 1 species